rnacentral:rRNA from 1 species
GAUGAACGCUGGCGGCGUGCCUAAUACAUGCAAGUCGAGCGAACGGACGAGAAGCUUGCUUCUCUGAUGUUAGCGGCGGACGGGUGAGUAACACGUGGAUAACCUACCUAUAAGACUGGGAUAACUUCGGGAAACCGGAGCUAAUACCGGAUAAUAUUUUGAACCGCAUGGUUCAAAAGUGAAAGACGGUCUUGCUGUCACUUAUAGAUGGAUCCGCGCUGCAUUAGCUAGUUGGUAAGGUAACGGCUUACCAAGGCAACGAUGCAUAGCCGACCUGAGAGGGUGAUCGGCCACACUGGAACUGAGACACGGUCCAGACUCCUACGGGAGGCAGCAGUAGGGAAUCUUCCGCAAUGGGCGAAAGCCUGACGGAGCAACGCCGCGUGAGUGAUGAAGGUCUUCGGAUCGUAAAACUCUGUUAUUAGGGAAGAACAUAUGUGUAAGUAACUGUGCACAUCUUGACGGUACCUAAUCAGAAAGCCACGGCUAACUACGUGCCAGCAGCCGCGGUAAUACGUAGGUGGCAAGCGUUAUCCGGAAUUAUUGGGCGUAAAGCGCGCGUAGGCGGUUUUUUAAGUCUGAUGUGAAAGCCCACGGCUCAACCGUGGAGGGUCAUUGGAAACUGGAAAACUUGAGUGCAGAAGAGGAAAGUGGAAUUCCAUGUGUAGCGGUGAAAUGCGCAGAGAUAUGGAGGAACACCAGUGGCGAAGGCGACUUUCUGGUCUGUAACUGACGCUGAUGUGCGAAAGCGUGGGGAUCAAACAGGAUUAGAUACCCUGGUAGUCCACGCCGUAAACGAUGAGUGCUAAGUGUUAGGGGGUUUCCGCCCCUUAGUGCUGCAGCUAACGCAUUAAGCACUCCGCCUGGGGAGUACGACCGCAAGGUUGAAACUCAAAGGAAUUGACGGGGACCCGCACAAGCGGUGGAGCAUGUGGUUUAAUUCGAAGCAACGCGAAGAACCUUACCAAAUCUUGACAUCCUUUGACAACUCUAGAGAUAGAGCCUUCCCCUUCGGGGGACAAAGUGACAGGUGGUGCAUGGUUGUCGUUAGCUCGUGUCGUGAGAUGUUGGGUUAAGUCCCGCAACGAGCGCAACCCUUAAGCUUAGUUGCCAUCAUUAAGUUGGGCACUCUAAGUUGACUGCCGGUGACAAACCGGAGGAAGGUGGGGAUGACGUCAAAUCAUCAUGCCCCUUAUGAUUUGGGCUACACACGUGCUACAAUGGACAAUACAAAGGGCAGCGAAACCGCGAGGUCAAGCAAAUCCCAUAAAGUUGUUCUCAGUUCGGAUUGUAGUCUGCAACUCGACUACAUGAAGCUGGAAUCGCUAGUAAUCGUAGAUCAGCAUGCUACGGUGAAUACGUUCCCGGGUCU